rnacentral:rRNA from 1 species
CCUACGGGUGGCUGCAGUGAGGAAUAUUGGUCAAUGGGCGGAAGCCUGAACCAGCCAAGUAGCGUGCGGGAUGAAGGCCCUACGGGUCGUAAACCGCUUUUGCACGGGGAUAACACCCUCCACUUGUGGAGGUCUGCAGGUACCGUGCGAAUAAGGGCCGGCUAAUUCCGUGCCAGCAGCCGCGGUAAUACGGAGGGCCCGAGCGUUAUCCGGAUUCAUUGGGCUUAAAGGGAGCGUAGGCGGGCGUUCAAGUCAGAUGUGAAAUCCACGGGCUCAACCCGUGAACUGCAUUUGAAACUGUUUCCCGUGAGUGUCGGAGAGGUAAUCGGAAUUCCUAGUGUAGCGGUGAAAUGCGUAGAUAUUAGGAAGAACACCAGUGGCGAAGGCGGAUUACUGGACGAUAACUGACGGUGAGGCGCGAAAGCGUGGGGAGCAAACAGGAUUAGAUACCCGUGUAGUC